UCUGGCAGUGAGACAGAGGAUGAAGGAAGACUAGGAACAAGGCUGCUGAAUCGGCUUAGCGGUGCACAGAUGGUGCUGAAGAAGAUGUAGAGCUUCUGCUCACAAACCUGAGUCCGAUGUGAAUAAAAGCUGCAUCCAGAGACACCUCAAAUGUUGGCCAGUGUCUCAUUGAAAGCACCUUCGUGAUGCUGGGCACCUUGAAAAGAUCCCUGUGCUUCAACUUGAGGCACCAGCCUGGAAGCAGCUUCCAGAGUGUUGAGCUUACUCCGUUUUCCAAGGUGGCCGGGAUAUGUGAGCAAAGCCUGGUCACCAGCAACAGGAGGAUCCAGAAAGGUCGAUUUCUAAUGUUCUCAUCAUCAGGAUUUGGAAUAAAACAUGAAAUGAAUUCGUCCUUGAUACAGAAUCAAAACUUUUUAAGAAUAUCUAAUUUACCACCCUUAAAAGAAAGUUGGCCAGCAGUGUUUACCCACUCCCUG